rnacentral:lncRNA from 10 species
CUGCGGCAUGGGACUCGGGGCGGGGCGGCAGUACGGGACGCGGGGCACGGGGGAGGGUCAGUGCGGAACGGGGGUGGGCAGCAUGGCGCGCGCACGCGGGAGACGGAAGCGCGGCGGCUCUUCGGCCGUUGUCAAGCGAUGAGGCGCGUCUCCCCAUUGCACAGAGGGGGCAACUGAGGCGAACGCAGGCCUCAAGGUCGCGCCGCCAGUCAAGGUCGACUGGGGUCCCGCGCCCGGACCCUACGCCUCCGCGAGCGGAAAUGGGGAUGGCGCGUCCCCGAGACCUAGGAGCAGCCUUGCGUCCGCAUUCCGCGCGGGCAAACACCACGUCGCGUCCUACCAGGCAAUGUCAGGAAGGAGGUUGCCUUUGAGCAUCGCUGUUUUCUCUAACGAGGUGGGACAGGAGCAGUCUCCGGUUUUGAGAGAUUAUGAAAUGCUUUCAAAAUGCUCUACUUUCCGAAAAUAUCUUACACUCUGCUUGAAUCUUCUUCAGGAGGAAGCCAUUAAAACAGGAGCCUGGCCAGGCUCUUACCUGUGAAGAUGCAUUAUGCACAUUUUGCCCUCUUACUCUUUUUGAAUCUCUGCUCCUGGUCUUUCCCUGCCCCCGCCCCGCCCAGCUCCUACCGCCCCCGCCUCGGGGCUGAAUUGUGCUUUGAUUUUUGGGUGAAAGAUAAGUCACAAUUUAAAAGCGAAUUUCUUCAGGCAAAGACAUUAAUAAUACUUUAAUUAAAAUGCACUUGUAGGCCAGGCGCGGUGGCUCAUACCUGGCGCUUUAGGAGGCGCGGAGGCCAAGGCCGGGGAGGAUCGCUUCAUCUUAGGAGUUCGACACCGGCCACCAGCCUGGGCAUCUUAGAGAGACGCCGUCUCUACAAAAAAAUAAAUAAAAAUAAAAAUUAGCUGGGCGUCGAGGCGCUCGCUACUCAGGAGGCUGGGCGGGGAGGAUUGCUUGAGCCCGGAGGUCGAGGCUGUAGUGGGCGGUGAUCGCAUCACUGCAUUCCAGCCGGGACGACAGAGUGUGACCCUCUCUCAAAAAAUAGGCCGGGUGCGGUGGAUCACGCCUGUAAUUCCAGCACUUUGGGAGGCCGAGGCGGGAGGAUCACCUGAGGUCAGGAGUUCAAGACCAGCCUGGACAACAUGGUGAAACCCCAUCUCUACGAAAAAUACAAAAUUAGCUGGGCAUGGUGGUGCGCACCUGUAGUCCCAGCUACCCCCUCGGGAGGCUGAGGCAGGAGAAUCGCUGGAACCCAGGAGGUGGAGGUUGCAGCGAGCAGAGAUGGCGCCACUGCACUCCAGCCUGAGAGACAGAGACUCCGUCUCAAAUAAAUAAACAAAAAUAUAAAAUAAAAUGCA